rnacentral:rRNA from 1 species
GACGAACGCUGGCGGCGUGCUUAACACAUGCAAGUCGAACGGAAAGGCCCUGCUUUUGUGGGGUGCUCGAGUGGCGAACGGGUGAGUAACACGUGAGUAACCUGCCCUUGACUUUGGGAUAACUUCAGGAAACUGGGGCUAAUACCGGAUAGGAGCUCCUGCUGCAUGGUGGGGGUUGGAAAGUUUCGGCGGUUGGGGAUGGACUCGCGGCUUAUCAGCUUGUUGGUGGGGUAGUGGCUUACCAAGGCUUUGACGGGUAGCCGGCCUGAGAGGGUGACCGGCCACAUUGGGACUGAGGUACGGCCCAGACUCCUACGGGAGGCAGCAGUGGGGAAUAUUGCACAAUGGGCGGAAGCCUGAUGCAGCAACGCCGCGUGCGGGAUGACGGCCUUCGGGUUGUAAACCGCUUUCGCCUGUGACGAAGCGUGAGUGACGGUAAUGGGUAAAGAAGCACCGGCUAACUACGUGCCAGCAGCCGCGGUGAUACGUGGGGUGCGAGCGUUGUCCGGAUUUAUUGGGCGUAAAGGGCUCGUAGGUGGUUGAUCGCGUCGGAAGUGUAAUCUUGGGGCUUAACCCUGAGCGUGCUUUCGAUACGGGUUGACUUGAGGAAGGUAGGGGAGAAUGGAAUUCCUGGUGGAGCGGUGGAAUGCGCAGAUAUCAGGAGGAACACCAGUGGCGAAGGCGGUUCUCUGGGCCUUUCCUGACGCUGAGGAGCGAAAGCGUGGGGAGCGAACAGGCUUAGAUACCCUGGUAGUCCACGCUGUAAACGGUGGGUACUAGGUGUGGGGUCCAUUCCACGGGUUCCGUGCCGUAGCUAACGCUUUAAGUACCCCGCCUGGGGAGUACGGCCGCAAGGCUAAAACUCAAAGGAAUUGACGGGGCCCCGCACAAGCGGCGGAGCAUGCGGAUUAAUUCGAUGCAACGCGUAGAACCUUACCUGGGUUUGACAUGGAUCGGGAGUGCUCAGAGAUGGGUGUGCCUCUUUUGGGGUCGGUUCACAGGUGGUGCAUGGCUGUCGUCAGCUCGUGUCGUGAGAUGUUGGGUUAAGUCCCGCAACGAGCGCAACCCUUGUUCACUGUUGCCAGCACGUUAUGGUGGGGACUCAGUGGAGACCGCCGGGGUCAACUCGGAGGAAGGUGGGGAUGACGUCAAGUCAUCAUGCCCCUUAUGUCCAGGGCUUCACGCAUGCUACAAUGGCUGGUACAGAGAGUGGCGAGCCUGUGAGGGUGAGCGAAUCUCGGAAAGCCGGUCUCAGUUCGGAUUGGGGUCUGCAACUCGACCUCAUGAAGUCGGAGUCGCUAGUAAUCGCAGAUCAGCAACGCUGCGGUGAAUACGUUCCCG